rnacentral:misc_RNA from 1 species
AAAAUUUUCAUUUCAUUUCAUUUCUUUCUUUUUUGAUAUUUAAGUUUGGAUGAAGGUGACAAGAAUAUUAAAGUAACUACCAGAAAGUAUUGAGACCAUGAACAGCCAAUAUUAGAUGACAGGCAUUGUUUAAGGAACAAAUAAUUUAAGCGAUUACCAAGAUCAAAAGGGACAUUUUGGGCUGCCAAAAUAAAAUAAAAUAAAAUGUUGGAUGAAAUUAAACUUCAAAGGAUUCUAGCUGUUAAAUUAAUAAAUUACAACUUCAAAUUUGACUAGUAGAUGCAAUGCAUGAAAGUGAUUAUUUAUAAGUAUAAACUUAAUCUAGAGGAAGCGACAGACCUCAAGGGUAACACUGUUGACAUU